AUUGAACGCUGGCGGCAGGCCUAACACAUGCAAGUCGAGCGAGCGGCGGACGGGUGAGUAAUGUAUGGGGACUGCCCGAUAGAGGGGGAUAACUACUGGAAACGGUGGCUAAUACCGCAUACUAUCGGAUAACCCAUAUGGGAUUAGCUAGUAGGUGGGGUAAAGGCUCACCUAGGCGACGAUCUCUAGCUGGUCUGAGAGGAUGAUGAGCCACACUGGGCCUGAGACACGGCCCAGAUUCCUACGGAGGAAGAAGUGGGGAAUAUUGCACAAUGGGCGAAAGCCUGAUGCAGCCAUGCGGCGUGUAGGAAGAAGGCUUUCGGGUUGUAAAGUACUUUCAGUCGGGAGGCGUUACCGACAGAAGAAGCACCGGCUAACUCCGUGCCAGCAGCCGCGGUAAUUC
rnacentral:rRNA from 1 species